UCAAAAAUCAAGAUCAGCAUAUGGAAAGUCUAGAUCUAGAUCUCAAAAAUCAAGAUCAGCAUAUGGAAAGUCUAGAUCUAGAUCUCAAAAACCAAGAUCAGCAUAUUGAAAGUCAAGAUCUAGAUCUCAAAAAUCAAGAUCAGCAUAUUGAAAGUCUAGAUCUAGAUCUCAAAAAUCAAGAUCAGCAUAUUGAAAGUCAAGAUCUGGACACUGAAAAUGAAUAUCGAGAUAUCGAAAGUCAAGAAGAUCAAUAUAUUGAAAGUCAAGAUCUGGAUACUGAAAAUCAAGAUCAAUAUGUUGAAAAUCAAGAUGAAGAUAUUGUAAGAUCAUAGUCAGCGAUCAGCACAUCGACAGUCAAGAUAAAGAUUUCAAAAAUCAAGAUCAAUAUUUCGAGGAUCAAGAUAAGCACAUCGAACGUCUUGAUCUGAAGUUUAAGAUUUUGUAAGUCAAGAUCAACUUCUAAACUUAUUUAAAACAAGAUCAAAUCCUGGAAAAUCAAGAUCAAGAACUAAUUUAUUAAGAUUCAAGAUAUUUUAAUUUCAAAUCAUGUUUUUCUUUAGCUGAUUAAAUCUAGGUUUUGUUAACGGAUUAAAGAAUUUAAUCUGAACAAAGUAUUUAAGAAAAAUAGCUCCGGAGCAAAAAAAUCUGUCUGAUUCUUAAGCAGUAUUUGAGCUGAACCAGCUGUCUGUACAGUACUCUAUUCUUUCUUUAUUAACUAAUUAGAGAAUAUUUCAUUUAUUAAGUAAAUUGUACAGUGUACAGUGUGCAAUCACUGUACAGUGUACAAAGUACAUUAGUUUCUUGUACUGUUGAGUACAUAUGUUUUUAAGUGCAUGUACUGUAGGAGACAGUACACACACAUGUUCUUGCCAUUUUUGACCCUUAGCAACAGUGCUGCUAAUUUCUCAAAUUAAUGUUAGAAUGAAUAUAUCUAGUAUCUACAUUCUACCUAUAGUGUUGAUGAUCCUCUGAACUAGGAAAGCUAUAAUUUAAUUAGUUUGUAAUGGGUGUUUUGAUUCCAGAUACACAACACUUGCGAGAUAUUGUAAUAGUUUGAACUUAUUAUAACUUAAUACAAAUUUUAACUCAAUAUCUCAGUGAAACCUAAAAAUACAUAUUGUAAUAAGAAAGAUAUUCUGCGGGAUAUUUUGCUGAGAAGCAUACACCCUUAACCUUUAUAGUUAGUUCAGAAUAAUGUUUACUUGACGUAAAAGACCAAUUAAAACUUGCAAAUAUUUUUCAGUAAGUAUGUAUGCAACUAGUAAUAACUAAAAGGGGGGGGGGAGAAAAGUUAUGGGGACCAUGCCCCCUCCUUAGAAUGUUGAAAAACAAUUAAGUACCCCCCCCCCCUCCCACGAACUAGUCGGAUUAUUAUCUGGUUUAAUUUUCAAAAGUUUUACUUCAUAAAUUCUUUAAACUACAUAAUGAAUAAAAUAAAAUUUAAAGAACAAUUAUUUUUCAUCGAGUUUUUAACUCAUUAAAGUUAUAAAAAUACUUUAACAAGUUCAAUCAAAAUGAAAUGUUUAGAAAAAUAGGAAAUAUAGUUGUAGUAUGUUUCUUGCCAUCUUUUCGUGAAUGUGUAAAAUUAUUUCGAUUUAAAACAUUAUUUCUGCAGGUUACCAUCUUAUCUUUUAUAAAUGUUCAAAUUCAGAUUUAAGAACGUAAAAAUAUACAAUUAACGGCAAUAACAAAUUUCGCGGUCACUUUGUUCUUUCUCAUACAUGUGUUCAAAUGUAAAUAUAUAUUCAACAUUAUUAUUCAAAUAUUAUAUAAAAUAAAAACUUAUAAAUUGUUGAUAUCAGACUAACAAUAAAUCGUCAUUUUACAAUCUUUUUCCCUUUCACUUCCGUAGAGUUUUAAUUAGUAAUAAUUUACAAAAUUUUGACAUUUAAAUCUCUUUUUCCUAACAAUAAAAUAACUGACUGUUACCAACUUCUUUCAUAAUUAUAUAAAUAUCAAUUUAAACGAUAGACAAAUUAAAUUUCAUAUGUUAAAAUUUGUUUAAUUUUUUCACCAAGCACGGUCAAUGCACCUGGAUUUUAUUACUUCGUCAUGGUUCUGUUGCCAUAUUUCAUCUCUAGAACUCCAUAAUAUGGAAAGAAAUGUCCAUAAGAAUGCUCUGUAUUUGUAUGUUUGUUUAUAGGUUAAAUAAUAUGUUAUGAUCUCCCAUACAACUUGUUUCAAUUUAUUAAUUCCAAAUAUAUCCUAUAUCCUCG